CGACUCCCAUCCGGCAAGGGUUAACCACCAGCCGGAAGCCAGUCUUGCAUGCGAGUGCGGCAACGCACUACUUGAAGCGUAGACGGCGGAUAC
rfam:Gammaproteobacteria bacterium 13_2_20CM_66_19 13_2_20cm_scaffold_2680, whole genome shotgun sequence.